rnacentral:rRNA from 1 species
UACGUAGGUCCCGAGCGUUGUCCGGAUUUAUUGGGCGUAAAGCGAGCGCAGGUGGUUUAUUAAGUUUGGUGUAAAAGGCAGUGGCUCAACCAUUGUAUGCAUUGGAAACUGGGAGACUUGAGUGCAGAAGAGGAGAGUGGAACUCCAUGUGUAGCGGUGAAAUGCGUAGAUAUAUGGAAGAACACCAGUGGCGAAAGCGGCUCUCUGGUCUGUAACUGACGCUGAGGUUCGAAAGCGUGGGUAGCAAACGGG